AAGUCGUAACAAGGUCUCCGUUGGUGAACCAGCGGAGGGAUCAUUACAGAGUUCUAAAAGACUCCCAAAACCAUUGUGAACGUACCCGUCAGCGUUGCCUCGGCGGGCGGCCCCUCCCUGGGGCCGCUGCCUCCCUCGGGGGGUGCCCGCCGGCGUACCAAAACUCUUUUGUAUUUUAGUGGCCUCUCUGAGAAAACAAGCAAAUAAGUUAAAACUUUCAACAACGGAUCUCUUGGUUCUGGCAUCGAUGAAGAACGCAGCGAAAUGCGAUAAGUAAUGUGAAUUGCAGAAUUCAGUGAAUCAUCGAAUCUUUGAACGCACAUUGCGCUCGCCAGUAUUCUGGCGAGCAUGCCUGUCCGAGCGUCAUUUCAACCAUCAAGCUCUGCUUGCGUUGGGGAUCCGCGGCUGCCCGCGGUCCCUCAAAAACAGUGGCGGGCUCGCUAGUCACACCGAGCGUAGUAGUAAAAUAUCUCGCUAGGGAGGUGUCGCGGGUUCGGCCGUGAAAGCCCAUCUUUUACACAAGGUUGACCUCGGGAUCAGGUAGGGAAUACCCGCUGAACUUAA
rnacentral:rRNA from 1 species